AACCGCCGUAUACGAGACCCGUAUGUACGGUGGUGUGAGAGGCGCACUCCGUCAUUACUGGCGGAGCCGUCUACUCGAU
rnacentral:autocatalytically_spliced_intron from 1 species